GAUUACUGGGCGUAAAGAGUACGUAGGCGGCUUUGCAAGUCGGGUGUGAAAUCCCUGAGCUUAACUCAGGAACUGCAUUCGAUACUGCAUAGCUAGAGUAUGUUAGAGGAUAGUGGAAUUCCAGGUGUAGCGGUGAAAUGCGUAGAUAUCUGGAGGAACACCAAUGGCGAAGGCAGCUGUCUGGAACAAUACUGACGCUGAGGUACGAAAGCGUGGGGAGCGAACAGGAUUAGAUACCCUGGUAGUCCACGCCGUAAACGAUGAGAACUAGACGUUGGGUAGCAAUACCGGGUGUCGUAGCUAACGCAUUAAGUUCUCCGCCUGGGGAGUACGACCGCAAGGUUGAAACUCAAAGUAAUUGACGGGGGCCCGCACAAGCGGUGGAGCAUGUGGUUUAAUUCGAUGCAACGCGAAGAACCUUACCUACCCUUGACAUCAUCAGAACUUGUUAGAGAUAACUCGGUGCCUUCGGGAACUGAUAGACAGGUGCUGCAUGGCUGUCGUCAGCUCGUGUCGUGAGAUGUUGGGUUAAGUCCCGCAACGAGCGCAACCCUUAUCUUUAGUUGCCAGCGAUUCGGUCGGGAACUCUAAAGAGACUGCCGGUGAUAAACCGGAGGAAGGUGAGGAUGACGUCAAGUCAUCAUGGCCCUUAUGGGUAGGGCUACACACGUGCUACAAUGGACGGUACAGAGGGUCGCCAACCUGCGAAGGGGAGCUAAUCUCAGAAAGCCGUUCUCAGUCCGGAUCGAAGUCUGCAACUCGACUUCGUGAAGUCGGAAUCGCUAGUAAUCGCGAAUCAGCAAUGUCGCGGUGAAUACGUUCCCGGGCCUUGUACACACCGCCCGUCACAC
rnacentral:rRNA from 1 species